ensembl:lncRNA
UGAAGGUAGACCCACGGGACUUGCUUUUAUAGUAAAGGCAGGGCAGAGAUUUCAAGUGCUGCUUCAGGAGUUUGGUCUCAGUAACUAGACAGUUGGCAAUGCCAUUUACUGAGAUGGGUGGGAGAUCAAGAAUUUGUUUGUGAGGAAUUGUGGGAAGAUGGUGGCAUAGGAAGACUCUGAGCUCACCUCCUCCCACAGACACAACAAAUCUACAACUACCUGUGGAACAGUUUCCUCUGAGAGAGAACUGGAAAGCAGAUAAAAAGAACCCUCACAACAAGAGACCACAUGGAUAGGGGUGGAAGAGGCAGAAGUCCACCUCUGCUGAGGAAACAACCACUCCUAGCCACAGCGCUUCACAGCCAGGAACAAUCUUAGAGCAAAGACUCAGCGGAAGACCGAAUCAGGCACAGCACCAGUGAACCAAGGAGCGACUCUUCAUAUCAGAGAUGGAAAAUCAGGUCAGGAAAUCAACAUGAUAAUACUUGGCACGUUAAGCUUCCUAUUAAGAUGCUUCCGAUUUUUUCAUGGCAUUGUUCUAAAACGAAGUCUCCACAUUUUACACUUUGCUGAUUCAGAUUUAUCCGGGAAUAAUCAUUAUGCCAGGUGGUAGAGACAAGAGGGGUCUGGAGUUUGAAGCACUGCGCUGUUUGAAUAGAAGAAAUUUCAUUCAACUAUGUGGAACCAGAUGCAUUUUUUUUUCUCAGAUAGUAGUGUUUCUAUUCUGGUACAAACCGUCAUUUUCUGAUUCUUCAUUCUCUCUUUUUCUUUUCUUUUGGAGGAGGACUGCUGAAAAUGUCAAAUAUACUUACAUGUAACUAGCAGUUCCACAUUAUUUUGCCUCAUACCUUGAGAAUAUGAUUGCAGUAGUAAUGAUGGAAUUCAAAAUUGUACUUUCUGAAAUUCCUCUCUUUGUAAAGUUAUAAGCAUAUUGUAUUUCUUAAAUGUUGCUGUGAAAACUGAUUAGAUGAAUUUUGGCAGUUCUCACUAAAUGAGGAUCUGAAUAUAAGGGGUCCAGAAUGAUAUAUCUUAAGUCCUCUUCUGAAUCAAUAAAUAAGAUUUCAGUGUUAUUCAUUUUCACAAAUAAAGUCAUUGUUCACAUUCUUGAGAAUGACUCUUUGUAUUUAUGAAGGUCUGAUCUCUGAAAGAGAUUUAAAUUAUAAAAGAAGGGUUUACGUAAAUUUUGACUAUCUAUGUAAAAUAAAAAUAUGCAUGUGAAAUAACACAAGUGCUAUUAGAAAAAAUCCUAACAAAUUAGACAAAAGUCUCAGCCUAACGUUUAUCUGAAUCACCUCCUGUUCUGUGUGAUAUCCAUUUCUUCAUAAGUCAACCAAUGCUCCUUGGACUUAGUUAUGGCCCUUUCUUGUUUCCUUUCCAUUUAAAUGUUAAGAAUGAGCUGAAUAAGAGAAAACUCAGGAAUCAUGUGAAAUGGAGGAAGUGGUUGACAGACCUGCAUACAGAAGGUUUGAAGCUCGGCUAGCAGGGUCAGAAUUAGUAAACACAUAUGACCGACUGUGAAAAGUCAACCUAACAGACAACAGCAAAAAGUAUCAACUGAAGAAAAUGGCUUUCAAUAUAAUUUAUAUGCUGAUAAUUCCCAACUUUGUCUCUAAUCUAGGUUUUUCUACUGAGCUUUUCAUCUAUCCAACAACCCUCUUGGUGUGUCCACUUCUGUGUCUCACAUUUUGUCUCAACAGGUUCAGAAGUAAACUCUGAAUUGCAACCCCCUGAAAAACAAAGCUUCUCUUCCAGUUUCUCCUACAUCAAUAAUGACAGUAAAUAUAUCUAGUUGCUCAAACCAGAAGACU